UUUUUAUAUACCUUUCAUAAUUGAAGAACACAGAAAGAGCUUCUUCUUUUAUGUUAGCGCGACGGUGAGUAACACUGGGCACCUACCUAUAGUUUUGGGAUAAAUCCGGGAAACCGGGGUAAUACCGAAUAAAUAUAUGUCUACCUCAUGGUGACAUAUUGAAAAGACGGUUUCUGCUGUUUGCUAUAGGAUGGGCCCGCGGCGCAUUAGCUAGUUGGUGAGGUAAUGGGUCACCACAGGGGACGAUGCGUAGCCGACCUGAGAGGGUGAUCGGCCACACUGGGAGUGAGACACGGGCCCAGACUCCUACGGGAGGCAGCAGUAGGGAAUUUUUUCACAAUGGGCGAAAGCCUGAUGGAGCAACGCCGCGUGAGUGAAGAAGGUUUUCUGAUUGUAAAAAUUUGUUGUAAGGGAAGAACAAGUACAGUAGUAAAUGGCUGUACCUUGACGGUACCUUAUUAGAAAGCCACGGCUAAAUACGUGCCAGCAGCCGCGGUAAUAAGUAGGUGGCAAGCGUUGUCCGGAAUUAUUGGGGGUAAAGCGCGCGCAGGCGGUCCUUUAAGUUUGAUGUGAAAGCCCCCGGCUCAACCCUGGAGGGUCAUUGGAAAAUGGGGGACUUGAGUGCAGAAGAGGAAAGUGGAAUUUCAAGUGUAGCGGUGAAAAGCGUAGAGAUUUGGAGGAACACCCCUGGGGAAGGGGACUUUUUGGUUUGUAAAUGACGCUGAGGCGCGAAAAAGUGGGGAGCAAACAAGAUUAGAUACCCUGGUAGUCCCCCCCGUAAAAGAUGAGUGCUAAGUGUUAGGGGGUUUUCGCCCCUUAGUGGUGCAGAUAAAGCAUUAAGCACUCCCCCUGGGGGGUACGGUGGCAAGAAUGAAAAACAAAAGAAAUGACGGGGGGCCGCCCAAGCGGUGGAGCAUGUGGUUUAAUUUGAAGCAACGCGAAGAACCUUACCAGGUCUUGACAUCCCGUUGACCACUGUAGAGAUAUAGUUCCCUCUGACCCAAUUACAAAAGAAAAGAUGG
rnacentral:rRNA from 1 species